AAUUAUGGCUCAGGAUGAACGCUAGCGACAGGCUUAACACAUGCAAGUCGAGGGGCAGCAUAAAAGUAGCAAUACUUGGUGGCGACCGGCGCACGGGUGAGUAACGCGUAUGCAACCUACCUAUCAGAGGGGAAUAACCCGGCGAAAGUCGGACUAAUACCGCAUAAAACAGGGGCACCGCAUGGUGAUAUUUGUUAAAGAAAUUCGCUGAUAGAUGGGCAUGCGUUCCAUUAGGUAGUUGGUGAGGUAACGGCUCACCAGGCCGACGAUGGAUAGGGGAACUGAGAGGUUGGUCCCCCACACUGGUACUGAGACACGGACCAGACUCCUACGGGAGGCAGCAGUGAGGAAUAUUGGUCAAUGGGCGAGAGCCUGAACCAGCCAAGUCGCGUGAAGGAAGAAGGAUCUAUGGUUCGUAAACUUCUUUUGCAGGGGAAUAAAGUGCAGGACGUGUCCUGUUUUGUAUGUACCCUGAGAAUAAGGAUCGGCUAACUCCGUGCCAGCCGCCGC
rnacentral:rRNA from 1 species